GAGCGGUAGAGAGRAGCUUGCUUCUCUUGAGAGCGGCGGACGGGUGAGUAAUGCCUAGGAAUCUGCCUGGUAGUGGGGGAUAACGUUCGGAAACGGACGCUAAUACCGCAUACGUCCUACGGGAGAAAGCAGGRGACCUUCGGGCCUUGCGCUAUCMGAUGAGCCUAGGUCGGAUUAGCUAGUUGGYGAGGUAAUGGCUCACCAAGGCGACGAUCCGUAWCUGGKCUGAGAGGAUGAUCAGUCMCACUGGAACUGASCCAGGKUCMACACUUCUACGGGAGGCAGCAGUGGGGAAUAUUGGACAAUGGGCGAAAGCCUGAUCCAGCCAUGCCGCGUGUGUGAAGAAGGUCUUCGGAUUGUAAAGCACUUUAAGUUGGGAGGAAGGGUACUUACCUAAUACGUGAGUAUUUUGACGUUACCGACAGAAUAAGCACCGGCUAACUCUGUGCCAGCAGCCGCGGUAAUACAGAGGGUGCAAGCGUUAAUCGGAAUUACUGGGCGUAAAGCGCGCGUAGGUGGUUCGUUAAGUUGAAUGUGAAAUCCCCGGGCUCAACCUGGGAACUGCAUCCAAMACUGGCGAGCUAGAGUAUGGUAGAGGGUGGUGGAAUUUCCUGUGUAGCGGUGAAAUGCGUAGAUAUAGGAAGGAACACCAGUGGCGAAGGCGACCACCUGGACUGAUACUGACACUGAGGUGCGAAAGCGUGGGAGCAACAGGAUUAGAUACCCUGGUAGUCCACGCCGUAAACGAUGUCAACUAGCCGUGGGAGCUGAGCUCUAGUGGCGCAGCUAACGCAUAGUGACGCUGGGGGAGUACGGCGCAAGUAACUCAAUGAUGACGGGGCCGCAGCGUGGACAUGUGUAUCGARCACSCGAAGAACCUUAC
rnacentral:rRNA from 1 species